UACAGAGGGUGCGAGCGUUAAUCGGAGUUAUUGGGCGUAAAGGGCGCGUAGGCGGUUAUGUAAGUGAGUUGUGAAAUCCCUGGGCUUAACCUAGGAACUGCAACUUAUACUGUAUAGCUAGAGUAUUGUAGAGGGUAGUGGAAUUUCCGGUGUAGCGGUGAAACGCGUAGAGAUCGGAAGGAACACCAGUGGCGAAGGCGGCUACCUGGACAAAUACUGACGCUGAGGCGCGAAAGCGUGGGG
rnacentral:rRNA from 1 species